rnacentral:rRNA from 1 species
AAUAGAUACCCCGGUAGUCCACGCCGUAAACGAUGUCGACUUGGAGGUUGUUCCCUUGAGGAGUGGCUUCCGGAGCUAACGCGUUAAGUCGACCGCCUGGGGAGUACGGCCGCAAGGUUAAACUCAAAUGAAUUGACGGGGGCCCGCACAAGCGGUGGAGCAUGUGGUUUAAUUCGAUGCAACGCGAAGAACCUUACCUACUCUUGACGUCCACGGAACUUUUCAGAGAUGAAUUGGUGCCUUCGGGAACCGUGAGACAGGUGCUGCAUGGCUGUCGUCAGCUCGUGUUGUGAAAUGUUGGGUUAAGUCCCGCAACGAGCGCAACCCGUUAUCCCUUUGUUGCCAGCGGUCCGGCCGGGAACUCAAAGGAGACUGCCAGUGAUAAACUGGAGGAAGGUGGGGAUGACGUCAAGGUCAGUCAUGGCCCUUACGAGUAGGGCUACACACGUGCUACAAUGGCGCAUACAAAGAGAAGCGACCUCGCGAGAGCAAGCGGACCUCAUAAAGUGCGUCGUAGUCCGGAUUGGAGUCUGCAACUCGACUCC